rnacentral:rRNA from 1 species
UACGGGGGGAGCAAGCGUUGUUCGGAUUUACUGGGCGUAAAGGGCGCGUAGGCGGCUCCGGAAGUGAGGUGUGAAAACUCCAGGCUCAACCUGGAGACGCCACCUCAUACUGCGGUGGCUAGAGUCCGGUAGGGGAGCAUGGAAUUCCUGGUGUAGCGGUGAAAUGCGCAGAUAUCAGGAGGAACACCAGUGGCGAAGGCGGUGCUCUGGGCCGGUACUGACGCUGAGGAGCGAAAGCGUGGGGAGCAAACAGG